UACAGAGGGUGCGAGCGUUAAUCGGAAUUACUGGGCGUAAAGGGCGCGUAGGCGGCAUGCCAAGCGUGUGGUGAAAGCCCGGGGCUCAACCCCGGGUCGGCCGUGCGGACUGGCGUGCUCGAGCACUGUAGGGGCGGGUGGAAUUCCGGGUGUAGCGGUGAAGUGCGCAGAUAUCAGGAGGAACACCGGUGGCGAAGGCGGGUCUCUGGGCCGAUACUGACGCUGAGGAGCGAAAGCGUGGGGAGCGAACAGG
rnacentral:rRNA from 1 species